CUUGGAAGCUACGCGGCUGAAAGAAGGGAGCUGGCUUUUCAGGUCAACAACCUCCCUGAACCUAUAAGCAGUCCAUGAAGCUGCACCGAAUAUCGCACAGAAACACUGAAGCAGUCAUCUGUCACCUCCUCCUCCUGUCCAUGUGCAUCCUGUGUGGACCUUCAUAAGCAUAAUAUACGCAUUUGCCUCCAGCGCUGUCCUCAGGGGAGAACUUGGGGACAGAAGUCUGGUAUCCUAUUCACAGAAGGGGCAGGAAGGCCCCAAACCCAACAGGACCAACUUAUCAUAUUCUGAAAAUGCCAAGGAAUGACACAUGUAGGAUAUUCUGGAAAAUAGUGGCCACCAGGAAGACUUGCAGCACUGGUCAGAGAAGGUUGAGAACUGAGGCUGAGAGAUUGCAACAUGCCAGAGGCCACCCCAAUGAGCCUUCACAGUUGUUGAGAGACAAAGAUCCGCAUGCUACCCUUGUGGGCUGUUGCUGAUAGGCUUUUAAGAAAGGCUGUACACAAGACAUAGCUAGUGAAGGGGGUUAUGAGCAGAUCACGCUGAGCAUUUAGAAAUCUAAUUCUAGCCUUAAAAUACAGAAGACUGACCCUGACCCUUCCUUACACAGAGGACACAGUGGAAGUUUGGAAAUUUCAGAGAUACUCAGAACCAAGAAGACAUCUCACCACUUCUACUUGCUGCAAGAUCAAUGAUGAGGCUUCACAUUCUCUAAACUUGGAAGGGUCAAGUCUCAACCUCAUCAGGGCUUUGGGGGUUCUGCUCUUCUGAAUUCCAGCGCAAGGAAAUCAACACCUGGCAGCCUUUCAUUUCGUAUUGUGUCAAGUGAUUGUCAGGCUCAAGAAGUGGUUACCAUUGGUGACCAUAUUUGUGGAUCACUGCAUGAGAAUUGGAUAAAGGGUUUUUUGCAACUUACCUAAAAUAUAAUCUUGUUCUCUUCUCUUACAAAAAAGGAGAAUACUUGGUCCAACUCAUAGUCAGCAACAGUGAACAUUUUA